GAGUUUGAUCCUGGCUCAGAUUGAACGCUGGCGGCAGGCCUAACACAUGCAAGUCGAACGGUAACAGAAAGCAGCUUGCUGCUUUGCUGACGAGUGGCGGACGGGUGAGUAAUGUCUGGGAAACUGCCUGAUGGAGGGGGAUAACUGCUGGAAACGGUAGCUAAUACCGCAUAACGUCGCAAGACCAAAGAGGGGGACCUUCGGGCCUCUUGCCAUCGGAUGUGCCCAGAUGGGAUUAGCUUGUUGGUGGGGUAACGGCUCACCAAGGCGACGAUCUCUAGCUGGUCUGAGAGGAUGACCAGCCACACUGGAACUGAGACACGGUCCAGACUCCUACGGGAGGCAGCAGUGGGGAAUAUUGCACAAUGGGCGCAAGCCUGAUGCAGCCAUGCCGCGUGUCUGAAGAAGGCCUUCGGGUUGUAAAGUACUUUCAGCGGGGAGGAAGGGAGUAAAGUUAAUACCUUUGCUCAUUGACGUUACCCGCAGAA
rnacentral:rRNA from 1 species